rnacentral:rRNA from 1 species
GUAGGUCACAAGCGUUGUCCGGAAUUACUGGGUGUAAAGGGAGCGCAGGCGGGUAUGCAAGUUGGGAGUGAAAUACAUGGGCUCAACCCAUGAACUGCUCUCAAAACUGUGUAUCUUGAGUAGUGCAGAGGUAGGCGGAAUUCCCGGUGUAGCGGUGGAAUGCGUAGAUAUCGGGAGGAACACCAGUGGCGAAGGCGGCCUACUGGGCACCAACUGACGCUGAGGCUCGAAAGUGUGGGUAGCAAACAGGAUUAGAUACCCUGGUAGUCCACACCGUAAACGAUGAUUACUAGGUGUUGGAGGAUAGACCCCUUCAGUGCCGCAGUUAACACAAUAAGUAAUCCACCUGGGGAGUACGACCGCAAGGUUG